rnacentral:lncRNA from 1 species
AGCCAUUUUGAACAGAUUUGGCCGACGGACAACUCAAGGUCGUCUUCAAGACGUUUUUAGCUCUGCUGCUCGCUAUUACCUAAACAACUUCCGAGAUGGGAUCAAACAGGUUUGCGUUCGUAGAUUUAUUUUUCGAAACCUUUAUUCCCACAAAUGUCAACAUAUGUUGCCAAUCCGUCAAAAACUUGGUUGGCCUUGUGGGUCUGUUAUGUACUUCACUUUUGUAUAAUUUUAAAGCUUUAGUACUUGUUUGAACUUGUUUAAGCUCGCCAGAAUCUAACUUCAUGCUGCUGUAAUUUCAAUGAAGACUCUAAGAGUUGUUUUAGUACAUACGUAUUGGCACAUAUAUAUGUAUACAUAUAUACACAUUCAGACAUAUGUGUGCGUUGGUGUGUGUGAGAUUAACCUUUUAAGGUUUGUGAUCGUGUCUGAGUUUACAGGAUAGCAUUGAUCUUGUCGCUGGCCAUCCCCUUGGAGAUGCCUUACAUCUUCAGACUACCUUGAUCGAGACUGUUGCGGUAAGAAGCACUUCAUUAGAACUAUUUAUAAAAGAACUUGAGCUAUGAAAAAAUUCUUCAACUAAAGUUCUGAUGGUUUACCCAUUUUGUUUAUAUUGCAGUUUCCAGGUGCUUUAGUUGCAAUUGUGGUGGGUGCUUACUUCACCAGUAUCACUGCCCGACAAUGUAAGGCCUCGUUUUCUUUUAAAGAGAAUCGCAGAAAGUAAAUAAAUAAUUGUUAUUUGUUUUGAAAAAUGAAAAGAAGUUAUGCAUUUCUUUUUCUGAUUGAUAUUGAGCAUCAAGGUUCAUUCCAAAAUACUGCUCAAAUGGACCCUGGGAUCUCUCCUACGGUAUUUUGUACAGUGGGCUCGGAUGCAUACCAGUAUCUGUGCACACUCGUGCUGGCAGGUAUGACAGGUAGUGUUGUAGCAAUGAUUCGAUCACGAGGUCGUUAUCUUGCUAAUAGACCACGCCUGUGCAAAAUGGAUUAAAAAGGUAAUUUUUUAUAGUUGUAGUUAUCGUC